rnacentral:rRNA from 1 species
UGGGGAAUAUUGCACAAUGGGCGAAAGCCUGAUGCAGCGACGCCGCGUGAGGGAUGAAGGCCUUCGGGUUGUAAACCUCUUUCAGUAGGGAAGAAGCGCAAGUGACGGUACCUACAGAAGAAGCACCGGCUAACUACGUGCCAGCAGCCGCGGUAAUACGUAGGGUGCGAGCGUUGUCCGGAAUUAUUGGGCGUAAAGAGCUUGUAGGCGGUUUGUCGCGUCUGCCGUGAAAAUCCGGGGCUCAACUCCGGACUUGCGGUGGGUACGGGCAGACUAGAGUGUGGUAGGGGAGACUGGAAUUCCUGGUGUAGCGGUGAAAUGCGCAGAUAUCAGGAGGAACACCGAUGGCGAAGGCAGGUCUCUGGGCCACUACUGACGCUGAGAAGCGAAAGCGUGGGGAGCGAACAGG